rnacentral:rRNA from 1 species
AGAGUUUGAUCAUGGCUCAGGACGAACGCUGGCGGCAUGCCUAACACAUGCAAGUCUAGGGGUAGCAAUACCACUGGCGCACGGGUGAGUAACACGUAGGUUAUCUGCCCCCCAUCACAGACAUAACCCCGGGAAACCGGGGCUAAUAUCUGAUGAGGUCGCGAGAUCAAAGCUUCGGCGGAUGGGGAUGAGCCUGCGGCUGAUUAGCUAGUUGGUGAGGUAAUGGCUCACCAAGGCGACGAUCAGUAGCUGGUCUGAGAGGACGAACAGCCACACUGGAACUGAGACACGGUCCAGACUCCUACGGGAGGCAGCAGUGAGGAAUAUUGGUCAAUGGGAGCAAUCCUGAACCAGCAAUGCCGCGUGUGGGAUGACAGGGCUUCGCCUUGUAAACCACUGUCGGACGGGACGAAAGGAGGCCUCGGGGCCUCUGGGACGGUACCGUCAAAGGAAGGGUCGGCUAACUACGUG